GCCUAAACUUGUUGAAAUAAUCAAUAAGAUAUUUCUGGGUCUGAUCUAUGUUAAACCAGUUAUCAGACAUUGCCUUCUGAAAAGAGAACUUCAUAAUGUUUAGAUAAAUUUGCUGCCUUGACACUUGAGUCAUGAUGACCUAAACCAAUGAACUAUUUUCAUGUUUAUUUUAUACUUUUCUGCCUGUGCUCCUUUACUUGGUCACAUGAGGGCGCUAUGGCUUCAGUUAUGGUAGAUGGCGCCAUUAAUAAUAUAAAGGUAUCACAGUGCCAUGCUGAGCUGCAGAAACUUGGCCCUUAAACAUUUAUUUUCCUCGCAUUGCAUUUUUUUUUGAUACAUUAAAUGUCUUAUACUGAACAUAACUAUUUAAGGUCUAACCUUUUUCUGGUUAUUCCUAGUUAUAAAUGCCCAUUCAUCUAUAAAUCUGUGAGGCAUAAGUGUCUGAGAUUACGUCUGCAAUCUACAUCUAGAAAGGAAAUAAGUUUUCAGUCAAGGAUAAUAUUGUAUCAUUUGACAAUGUCAUAACUGGCUUCCAAGGAGAACUGCGCGGUGGAGGUCGCUUAAUAAUUCAGAUGGUAGAACGUGUUCCUGUGGAAAAGGCCGACGUGUCACUGUGCCACUCUAGUUUUAAUCCUGCAGGAGUUUAAACCUGUUUAUAAAUGGGUGAAUCAGGUCUGUGAAUAUUUAAUUGCUCAUCUGACAUAAAAAAGUGACAAAUGUGCUUCAUUCAAACAUAGCAAAAAAUGUGAUGCAUUGAUGUUUAAGUCAAUGUAAGCAACAGAUAUAACAAACUCACUUUAUUUCUGCUUCAAAGGCAAAUAGGUAGUCACAGUUUUAAUGUGAAGGUAAACUAACUGCAGACAACAGCAGUAAGAUACAGACUAACAAAUCAACCUAUGCCAAGUAUGGCAUUUUGAAUGCUAGGUUUUAUCUGAAUUUCACCAAUCAGAGGUACACUGUGAUUGAUAAGAACCCUAUGUCCCACAGUAACCUGCUCCAUUUCUGUAAUCGAAAUCCUGUGAAUAAGCUGAAUAUUUGAAUCUCCGGAAAGAAAAUAAAUAAAUGCCCAAUAAAAAAUUAAGGACGCUGUAUAUAAUCUCAAGUGAAAAUGUCAAACAGCAAGGUAGCUUUGAAGGACAGCACUGGGGCUUUGGAAGGCGGUGAAGGUGUAAACAUCUCUGGCCAGUGCAACCCACCCUAAAAAUCUAUUAUAAUUUCACCAUUUACACCAUAAAUAGAUGCAGAAAGGGCACAAACUGGUGCAGAAAAAAAAUCACCAGAAUAUGAAGUGUUUGACGUUAAAAUUGCAAUCUUGUUCAAAAGUGGAACUCUCAAUCCCCCUAAUGUUGAACCCAAAGUAACGCCCUUGGCUGCACCAAUAAAUACAGAUCAGUGCUCCUCAUAUACCAUCAGCGUUAUUGUUCCAUACAAGCACUGCUUCAAGGAUGUUCAUUUGCAUCAGGGAAAAAAGAAAUAAAUGCAUAUUUGGAAGAAAGGCAGCACGUCCUCAGACCUUCAAUCUCGUCGUCAGUCCCCCAACACCAUCAUCACAGCCAGUGUCAAAAGGUGAGGUCCACCUGGGCUGAGGACCACGUUCACAACCAGAUACAGCCAACACAAGUGAAGCCCAUGACGUCGUCACAGAGCUCAGUGGCCAUCACAGCUUUCCUGUGGAGGGAAAAACAGAGUUGUACUAUUCAAGCAGAGGAUGUAAAAAUGGAUGAAAUGUUAAUAAAGGAGGUUAAACUA